UUUCCUGAAUCAUCGUCGCCUGAGAUCAAAAAGCAAGAUGGGAGAAGAAGUGCUAGUCAGCUGCGACAGCCAAGAGGAGUGGGAUGAACACUUAGAGAAGAACCCUCUGGUGAUGGUUUGCUUUAUCACUUCUAACUCUCCAUCUAGGG